UACGGAGGGGGCUAGCGUUGUUCGGAAUUACUGGGCGUAAAGCGCACGUAGGCGGCUUUGUAAGUUAGAGGUGAAAGCCCGGAGCUCAACUCCGGAAUUGCCUUUAAGACUGCAGAGCUAGCAGGUGAGAGAGGUGAGUGGAAUUCCGAGUGUAGAGGUGAAAUUCGUAGAUAUCGGGAGGAACACCUGUGGCGAAAGCGGCUCACUGGACCACAACUGACGCUGAGGCGCGAAAGCUAGGGGAGCAAACAGG
rnacentral:rRNA from 1 species